rnacentral:lncRNA from 1 species
GGUUUGUUUCUCUUCCCUCGCAAGCAGUAAACACCAUCCUAUGCAAGAAAUGAAGCUACCCUUCAAUGCAAGAACCAGGUGCUGGUGGUCUGAGAUGGGCUACCAGUCUGGACAGGAUUGCAGAACCGAAACCAGCAUUCAAGUUCCUCCUUGGUGGCAAAUCUGGAAGAUAUGCUAACAGGAGAGCCAGUGCCUUGUUUCCUGCCAGGAAGCGAUAGACACUCUUA